rfam:Salmo salar isolate Sally breed double haploid chromosome ssa29, whole genome shotgun sequence.
UAGCUCAGUUGGUAGAGCAUGGUGUUUGGAACACCAGGGUUGUGGGUUCAAUUCCCAC